GAGCUCUCCUCCAGAAAUGGCAGAUAAAUACUUGCCUCACACGUGUUUGGAGGAUGGCUCCCAUCACUGGAGAAGGCUGGGAGCUUGCGGAGUCCUACUGAGAGUAAAGUGACUCAUAAUAUACAAAUGGAGAGAAAUAAUUCAAACAGCAUGUGAUCUUAAACCUCCUUUUCAGCUGCAAAUAGAAAGCUGAAGAUGGUUUGCCAUUAACUUCUUGCAUUAAGCCAUAUGUCUGUGCCUUUGGGGAGCUCACAAAGUCUAACCUGGAUUCAGUGAUGUUGGCACCUUGGGAGAGAAGAAUCCAUCACACCUUCUGUACCAAGCUGAAGUAAAUUUAGGAAGGCAGCCUUGACCUUUCAUGCCUUGGCCUUAAAAUAAUUUGUGCCAUCCCAAAUCCUUGAUGUUGAUGUUACAGCCAGAACCUCAGCUCUUACCAGCAGGUGUCACAGCAAUGACAGGAAGGAAGGAAGAGAUAAGAAACAGCUUGAGAACUUGUGUAGCCUGACUUUUCUAGUGGAUCAAUCUCUUCAAAAACAAGAUCAAUGGAGCAUCCAUGUCAUUGCAAAGGUAGAAGUGACGUUUUCACCCUGCCUGGAAUAAAGCAAGAGCAGUGCGUGUGUCCGUGCUGAGCUUUACCCGCCCUGGCGUGACUGCAGAUCCUGUCCUGUCCCACCCCAUCAUCCCGAGCGAACAGCCUCCGGCCCAUUU
rnacentral:lncRNA from 1 species